rnacentral:rRNA from 1 species
AUUGAACGCUGGCGGCAGGCCUAACACAUGCAAGUCGAACGAGUAGCGGACGGGUGAGUAAUGUAUGGGAAACUGCCCGAUGGAGGGGGAUAACUACUGGAAACGGUAGCUAAUACCGCAUACCAUCGGAUGUGCCCAGAUGGGAGUAGCUUGUAGGUGAGGUAAACGCUCACCUAGGGGACGAGCCCUAGCUGGUCUGAGAGGAUGAACAGCGACCCUGGAACUGAGACACUGUGCAGACUCCUACGGGAGGCAGCAGUGGGGAAUAUUGCACAAUGGGCGGAAGCCUGAUGCAGCUAUGCCGCGUGUAUGAAGAAGGCCUUCGGGUUGUAAAGUACUUUCAGCGGGGAGGCGUUACCCGCAGAAGAAGCACCGGCUAACUCCGUGCCAGCAGCCGCGGUAAUUC